GACGAACGCUGGCGGCGUGCCUAAUACAUGCAAGUCGAACGAACCGCGACUAAGUGCUUGCACUAAGUCAAGGUGAGUGGCGAACGGGUGAGUAACACGUGGGUAACCUACCUCAUAGUGGGGGAUAACAGUCGGAAACGACUGCUAAUACCGCUAAGGACAUAGGCUCACAUGCUCCAGUGAGGAAGGGUGGCGCAAGCUAUCGCUGAGGGAUGUAGCCGCGGUGCAUUAGCUAGUUGGUAGGGUAAAGGCCUACCAAGGCGAUGAUGCAUAGCCGACCUGAGAGGGUGAUCGGCCACAUUGGGACUGAGACACGGCCCAAACUCCUACGGGAGGCAGCAGUAGGGAAUCUUCCGCAAUGGACGCAAGUCUGACGGAGCAACGCCGCGUGAGUGAAGAAGGUCUUCGGAUCGUAAAGCUCUGUUGUUAGAGAAGAACAGCGCAUAGAGUAACUGCUAUGCGUGUGACGGUAUCUAACCAGAAAGCCACGGCUAACUACGUG
rnacentral:rRNA from 1 species